rnacentral:lncRNA from 1 species
CUUGUUCCCAACCUUCUCUACACAUACACAUAAAAUAAUAUAGUUUAACAGUUUUUUUGGGAUAAAAAUGGGACUGUAUUAGUUAUCCACUGCUGUGUAACAAAUUUUCCUAAAAUAUAGCAGCUUAAAACAACAAACAUUUAUUGUCUUACAGUUUCUUUGAGUCAGAAUCAGGCUCUAGCUUAGCUGAAUUCUCUGCCUCAAGAUCUCUCAUGAGGUUGCACUGAGGGUAUGGGCCAGGGCUGUGGUCUCAUCUGAAGGCUCUAUUGGGUAAGGAUUGGUUUAUGAGCUCACUCAUGUGGUUGUUGGCAGGAUUCAGUUCUUUGUGAGGCUGUUGGAUGGAAGGCCUCAGUUAUAUGCUACCUGUUGGCCAGAGGCCUCCCUCAGUUCUUUGCUACACAGGCCUCUCUGGCCUCCACUACAAUAAGCAAGAAGAAACUGCCAUCUCUUUGUACACCUAAUUGUAGAAGUGAUAUUCCAUUACUUUUGCCAUGUUCUAUUAGUUAGAAGUGAAUCACUAGGUUCAGCCUACAUUCAAGAGGAAGGGAUCACACAAAGAUGCUCAUUCCAGAGGGGUCCUGCCCCAUACCCAAGAGGAAGGAAUGCUACCCAGAGAGGCCAAGAAGAAUCUGCAUAGACAAGCCUUGUGUGUUCCCCACUUAGUCUAUCACAAUUAGAUUCUUCUCUUUGUCCAGUCAUGUUUCUACCUGGUUGCCAUUCCUCAUUGAACCUAAACAUAAAAUCAGUUUCCCCUUGGUGUUUAGGUCUUCAUUUCUGAUGGCUCCUGUGUCCUGUAUAACUUUG